ACGGAUAUGAUGUAAUUGGCAAACAUACUAAGUUUAGGUUUUAGUUCCUUUGGCGGUUCGAGUCCGCCUAUCCGUA
rnacentral:tRNA from 1 species